rnacentral:rRNA from 1 species
GAUGAACGCUGGCGGCGUGCUUAACACAUGCAAGUCGAACGGGAAACCUUUUAUUGAAGCUUCGGCAGAUUUAGCUGGUUUCUAGUGGCGGACGGGUGAGUAACGCGUGGGUAACCUGCCUUAUACAGGGGGAUAACAGUCAGAAAUGGCUGCUAAUACCGCAUAAGCGCACAGAGCUGCAUGGCUCAGUGUGAAAAACUCCGGUGGUAUAAGAUGGACCCGCGUUGGAUUAGCUGGUUGGUGGGGUAACGGCCCACCAAGGCGACGAUCCAUAGCCGGCCUGAGAGGGUGAACGGCCACAUUGGGACUGAGACACGGCCCAGACUCCUACGGGAGGCAGCAGUGGGGAAUAUUGCACAAUGGGGGAAACCCUGAUGCAGCGACGCCGCGUGAAGGAAGAAGUAUCUCGGGAUGUAAACUUCUAUCAGCAGGGAAGAUAAUGACGGUACCUGACGAAGAAGCCCCGGCUAACUACGUG